CUUUUACAAUGCAGACGAUGCGAAUCUAAUUUCCGCAAACGCCUCACUUAAAAAAUAUUAUUUUAAUAUUCAACUCUUCAAACUAAGUUUUUUUAGAAGAGUUUACAAUUUCCAUUUAAAUCUAAAUCUAGAUUUUUUUAUAUAAAAAAAAUAAAUAAUAAAAUAGAAGAAUAAAUCACAUUUGUUGCCAACCAACUGGGGAGUUGUUGGCAAGCUACAAAAGCUGGAAGAAUUGGAUGUAGUUUGGAGGAGGAGAAACUAAAGAAAGAAGUGCAUUUGGCUGUUUUCUUACAAAAGAUAAACUGGAGCUUGAUUAACAGAUCAACUGACUCGAAAAGAAAAUAAUCAAAAAUGCAUCGAGGCUAAAAUCAGUAACUAAUUUGACAAUGAUCGAUGAUGAUAUGAAAGUUCGAAAGCGUAAAAUGCAUAGGAUCAGGAUUUUCGUGGCAAGAAACCGGACUCUAAUGACCUUUUUUUUUUUCUUUUCUUUUUACCUUACAGAAAUCACAUUAAGUAACGUUUAGUAAUCACAUUAAAGAUGCUUACAUCAAAUUUUUAGACAAUACCCCGACUAACUUGGCCCAUAUCCAAUACGGAAAUUCUGCGACAUUAACAAAACUAUGAAGGAAAAAGGUCAUUGAAAUUGCUUUUACGAGAUCGUCGAGUUCAAGUUCUACUACACUUUUGCUUUUUGUGUUUUUUUCUUUUCUUCCUUUUCCUAAAUGAAACAAGAUUCUUUACUGAAAUUAAUGACUUUGGUCGUUUCAAGUCCACUUUUCUGAGAAACUAGAAUUGCUCUCUUGAUACUGAUGCGAUGAUUUAGAACUAGAGAAGGUGAAUAAAAGCUUUAUGUGAAUAGAACAUGUUUAAUUCCAUUGGGAAAUUUAGAACCUGCUGUUUUUUUCAAGAAGGUUUUAACUUUUUAUAAAUAUAAAACAUAUUUUCUUUUAUGUUUCCAGUUAAAAAUAAUGAUUAAUUUUAGAUCUAUUCCUAGCAAGAUACAGUCAAACGCCGUUCUAAAUAGAGCCACCCUUAUAAAUCGCAAUGAAUACUUCUAAAAGGAUCCUCCUCAUAAAUAAAGAAUUCUUUCGCAGAGAUUCUCAUCCUCAAGUGUCCAAAUGUCAUAUCUAUAGCUUAGAUAAUGUACGAUUUUGCAUUCUAAAUGGCAUUUCUAUUUGUCCAAAGACCCCAAUACUGCACACCAAUCUUAACGUUUGGGGUUAUUCAAUUUAAUACUACAUUCGAUUUAGUAUCCAUUUUAGAAGCGAACAAACAGAGGCGCUAAAUUGACGUUUGACAAUACUUGUUCAAUAAGAAAGAAGCAUUUUUCUACCAAGAUUUAUGUGGAGACGAAGCUGUUAGUCGCGUCGUGUCGCGUAAGCAUGCGACGUGACUAAUAACUUUCUCUCAUGAUUUAAAAAAUGAAGUAAUAAUUAUUUACUUAUUUAUUUUGUGAGCUGUUCGACCUUAAUACGUUAAUGAAAUCUACUCGGGUCAUUGAGUGUUAUAAAGCCUGGAAAAAAGAGGAAACCCGUACGCACUUGUUUAUCAGGGAAAAUUUUUCAAUUUGAACAGGUACGAAGCGGUGCAAAAUAGAGAAACUGGAACAGGGAA